UACGUAGGGGGCUAGCGUUGUCCGGAUUUAUUGGGCGUAAAGAGCGUGUAGGCGGCCAGGUAGGUCUGCUGUGAAAACUCGAGGCUCAACCUCGAGAUGUCGGCGGAAACCAUCUGGCUAGAGUCCGGAAGAGGAAAGUGGAAUUCCUGGUGUAGCGGUGAAAUGCGCAGAUAUCAGGAAGAACACCCGUGGCGAAAGCGGCUUCCUGGACCAAUACUGACGCUCAUGUGCGAAAGCGUGGGGAGCAAACAGG
rnacentral:rRNA from 1 species